rnacentral:lncRNA from 1 species
CACUGUUUCAUCUCCAAAAAUGCUCAGCAAGCAUCAGUGAAUGCCAAUGGGUGCCAAUUCUUCUGCAUGUAGAAUCGAAGAAUCAUGAGGGUUGGAAGGGACCUCUGGAGAUCACCUAAUUCAACCCCGCUGCUAAAGCAGGUCUGAAAAGGUUUAUUUCCACAAUGGUCUCCUAGGAAUCAAGAAAUACUCCCCUGAUGACAACUGCUGACUUCCUUCGUUUUUCUUUUUGCCCUGUCUUGCUUUGUUUAACAAUAGCUUUUCAAAGCUAAAUGUGCACUUACAUAUACACUUUACUGUGAUGGAAACCUAGCUUAUCGAAGAACCUACAUUAUCCUCUGCUGUUAAUAUACCAAUAAAAUUCUGUUUCUCAC